rnacentral:rRNA from 1 species
ACAUGCAAGUCGAACGAUUAAACCGCCCUCGGGCGGACAUAGAGUGGCGAACGGGUGAGUAACACGUGACCAACCUGCCCCGCGCUCCGGGACAACCGCUGGAAACGGCGGCUAAUACCGGGUACUCCGGGAGGGCCCCAUGGCCCUGCCGGGAAAGCCGAGACGGCGCGGGAUGGGGUCGCGGCCCAUUAGGUAGACGGCGGGGUAACGGCCCACCGUGCCCGCGAUGGGUAGCCGGACUGAGAGGUCGACCGGCCACAUUGGGACUGAGAUACGGCCCAGACUCCUACGGGAGGCAGCAGUGGGGAAUUUUGCGCAAUGGGGGAAACCCUGACGCAGCAACGCCGCGUGCGGGACGAAGGCCCUCGGGUUGUAAACCGCUUUCAGCAGGGAAGACUUUACGACGGUACCUGCAGAAGAAGCUCCGGCUAACUACGUGCCAGCAGCCGCGGUAAUACGUAGGGGGCGAGCGUUAUCCGGAUUCAUUGGGCGUAAAGCGCGCGUAGGCGGCCGCCUAAGCGGGACCUCUAACCCCGGGGCUCAACCCCGGGCCGGGUCCCGGACUGGGCGGCUCGAGUGCGGUAGAGGAGAGCGGAAUUCCCGGUGUAGCGGUGGAAUGCGCAGAUAUCGGGAAGAACACCGAUGGCGAAGGCAGCUCUCUGGGCCGUCACUGACGCUGAGGCGCGAAAGCUGGGGGAGCGAACAGGAUUAGAUACCCUGGUAGUCCCAGCCGUAAACGAUGGGCGCUAGGUGUGGGGGGGCGAUCCCUCCGUGCCGCAGCCAACGCAUUAAGCGCCCCGCCUGGGGAGUACGGCCGCAAGGCUAAAACUCAAAGGAAUUGACGGGGGCCCGCACAAGCAGCGGAGCAUGUGGCUUAAUUCGAAGCAACGCGAAGAACCUUACCAGGGCUUGACAUGCCGAUGAAGCCGGGGAGACCCGGUGGCCGAGAGGAGUCGGCGCAGGUGGUGCAUGGCUGUCGUCAGCUCGUGUCGUGAGAUGUUGGGUUAAGUCCCGCAACGAGCGCAACCCCCGCCCCGUGUUGCCAGCAUUCAGUUGGGGACUCGCGGGGGACUGCCGGCGUCAAGCCGGAGGAAGGUGGGGACGACGUCAAGUCAUCAUGCCCCUUAUGCCCUGGGCUGCACACGUGCUACAAUGGCCGGUACAGAGGGUUGCCACCCCGCGAGGGGGAGCGGAUCCCGGAAAGCCGGUCCCAGUUCGGAUCGCAGGCUGCAACCCGCCUGCGUGAAGCCGGAGUUGCUAGUAAUCGCGGAUCAGCACGCCGCGGUGGAAUACGUUCCCGGGCCUUGUACACACCGCCCGUCACACCACCCGAGUCGUCUGCACCCGAAGCCGCCGGCCGAA